rnacentral:rRNA from 1 species
UACGUAGGGUGCGAGCGUUGUCCGGAAUUAUUGGGCGUAAAGAGCUCGUAGGCGGUGUGUCACGUCGGCCGUGAAAACCUGCAGCUUAACUGUGGGCGUGCGGUCGAUACGGGCAUCACUGGAGUUCGGCAGGGGAGACUGGAAUUCCUGGUGUAGCGGUGAAAUGCGCAGAUAUCAGGAGGAACACCGGUGGCGAAGGCGGGUCACUGGCCCGGUACUGACGCUGAGGUGCGAAAGCGUGGGGAGCAAACAGG